rnacentral:ncRNA from 1 species
AAGGUAGAGGUUGCAAAAGACAUUAUUAGAUAAUAGGAGUUUAGCAAGCAUAGAUUAUUAUUGAAAGGGAAUUUUGCCGAAAGGUUUAAAGAGCUAACUUUAGACACUUGGGAUUAUAGAGAACAUCUAUAAGACUGACAUUAGUUUACUAGUGUAGAGCUAUCA